rnacentral:rRNA from 1 species
UACGUAGGGGGCGAGCGUUGUCCGGAAUCAUUGGGCGUAAAGCGCGCGUAGGCGGUGAUCUUUGUCAGAGGUGAAAGCCCGGGGCUCAACUCCGGAAUUGCCUUUGAAACGGGAUCGCUAGAGUCCGAGAGAGGAUGGCGGAAUUCCUAGUGUAGAGGUGAAAUGCGCAGAUAUCAGGAGGAACACCGGUGGCGAAGGCGGAUCUCUGGGCCUUACCUGACGCUGAGGCGCGAAAGCUAGGGGAGCGAACAGG